rnacentral:rRNA from 1 species
GAGGAAAGCGGGCGGCGUGCUUAACACAUGCAAGUCGAACGGAAAGGCUCCUGCUUGCAGGGGUACUCGAGUGGCGAACGGGUGAGUAACACGUGGGUGAUCUGCCCUGCACUUCGGGAUAAGCCUGGGAAACUGGGUCUAAUACCGGAUAGGACCACAUUUUGGAUGGUGUGGUGGAAAGUUUUUCGGUGUGGGAUGAGCUCGCGGCCUAUCAGCUUGUUGGUGGGGUAAUGGCCUACCAAGGCGUCGACGGGUAGCCGGCCUGAGAGGGUGUACGGCCACAUUGGGACUGAGAUACGGCCCAGACUCCUACGGGAGGCAGCAGUGGGGAAUAUUGCACAAUGGGCGCAAGCCUGAUGCAGCGACGCCGCGUGGGGGAUGACGGCCUUCGGGUUGUAAACUCCUUUCGCUAGGGACGAAGCGUUUUUGUGACGGUACCUGGAGAAGAAGCACCGGCUAACUACGUG